rnacentral:tRNA from 1 species
GAGCGUAUAGCUCAGUGGUAGAGCGCGUGCUUGGUGCACACGAGGUCGUGGGUUCCAUCCCCAGUGCCUCCG